UACGGGGGGGGCAAGCGUUGUUCGGAAUUACUGGGCGUAAAGGGCUCGUAGGCGGCCUUCUAAGUCAGACGUGAAAUCCCUCGGCUCAACCGAGGAACUGCGUCUGAUACUGGAAGGCUUGAAUCCGGGAGAGGGAUGUGGAAUUCCAGGUGUAGCGGUGAAAUGCGUAGAUAUCGGGAGGAACACCAGUGGCGAAGGCGACUACCUGGCCUGUUCUUGACGCUGAGGCGCGAAAGCUAGGGGAGCAAACGGG
rnacentral:rRNA from 1 species